rnacentral:rRNA from 1 species
UACGUAGGGAGCAAGCGUUGUCCGGAAUCAUUGGGCGUAAAGCGCGCGUAGGUGGCCUCAUAAGUCCGCUGUGAAAGUCAAAGGCUCAACCUUUGAAAGCCGGUGGAUACUGUGAGGCUAGAGUACGGAAGAGGCGAGUGGAAUUCCUGGUGUAGCGGUGGAAUGCGCAGAUACCAGGAGGAACACCAAUAGCGAAGGCAGCUCGCUGGGACGUUACUGACACUGAGGCGCGAAAGCGUGGGGAGCGAACGGG